ACACUGCUGGUUAGGGGCCGGGCUGGGACUAGGGUCCAUGCAGCUCUGGAAAAAGUUUGGGUAGAUACUACCUCAUCCCAUGAACUUGUUCCCUUCCUACCCAUCCUAUCUCCCUAAAGGAGGUCCCUGAUGCUCUAACAUGGUCAGGGAACUACCUGGGCUCACUCACAGCUCUUGAAGCACUUGCUAGGACCUUGGCCAGGUGGAGUUACCAAAAUCCUGUAGACUGGGGUAAGGGGGGGGCGGGGGGGGAAUCCAACUAUCACCAUUUUAGCGAUUGGCAAACUGAGGCUGCUAGCUAAUGGCAGAGGGCAAGAUUUGAUAUUAAGCACUGUGUUCUUCCUGUAGAAAGACCUGAAAAGCCCAAACUCCCACAUAUGCAGAGUCACUAUUUACAAUAAUCAUGACUGCUGACUUCCUAAUGUCAGGGAAAUCCCCUCACUCCCACCAGUUCCUCCUGAAACUGAGCCUCCCUCCAUCUCGCACAGGGUGUCUGACUUAGGAAACAAACUGUACACCCACCCUCCUAAGCCAUCCAGGCCUACUGGAUAGAUUGCCUCCGAGUCAUACCCUUUAAUGGGGAAAUCACCCUUCUUUGUGCCGGGCACUUGACAUCGUCACUGCUCAUAUCAGCCCUGAGUCCCUGUCCAAGGGUACUAACGCCCCAUUUACAGAGGGACAAGCCGGAUUUCGGAGAGGGGAAGUCACUCGCCGAAAGUCCCACCGCCAGGGUCUGCGUGACACCCCAAAGCAGUGCUCAGUUACUCCGGGGAGAGCGCGGUGAACUUGAACCACUUGUUGGCUGGUUCCUGUUCUUGUUUUUUGCGGAUCGGUACACAGUGGGCGCUCAGGGAAAUAAAUGAUGGAAGCUUGAGAUUGAACUUGACAGCUCGACCCUGGGUACCCGCCACGAAUCCAGCCCAGCCCGCGGGGCACCGGGUUUCCCCAGACCUCGCAGGGAGCAUUUGCGGAUGGGCCGGUAGAGGAGGCUCGGACAUCCCAGCUCCGCACCCGCUCUCGACCAACGCGUGGUGGCGGAACCCCUGUCGUAGCGGGGCACAGAAUGGGUUCAAGUCCCGACUCUGCCAAUUUCAGGCUGAGUGACUUUGGGCGAGUCACUUCUUCCCGUCGAAACCUCAGCUGCUCCAUUCACAAAAUGGGAGAUAUGAACACCCAUCCUAAAAGGGUGUGGGUAGGAUUAAACGAAACAAUGUUCCUAAAACGCUAAAUUUACAAGUGUUGUCUCCAGUCCAUCCCAUAAACUUAGGCGACAAACCCGGCGCGGGGUGACCUGAGACAAAGGCUUCCCGGGCCCUGUCUCCAGGUCGUCCCCCCCUAGGGCGUAGGCACCUUUUAGUGACCCCCGUCCGGUGAAACCCGAAACUGCGGCCACUUUGGCAGCGGUGGGUCCCAAAAGCAAAUAUUCAAAUAUUCUGAAACUCGUGCAUGAUUUAGGACUGACAUUUUUAUGUUUAACAUUCUUGCAGUUUUAUUCUUGCUAGUAAAGGUAAUUCGUUAGAAACCCCUAAGUGCAGUUUCUCCUCUGUGUCUUGUUAACUUUUCGUGUUUGCGAAAUUUACAAAUUUGACCAAGGAACCGAAGCGCGGCAGUCCUCGCCGGGAUCCCGGCCAUCGCAAUAAUCUGGCUCUCGGCCCCUACUCCCAGGCACGGAGGUCAAAGAGACCGGCUUCCCCUACACCACCCUGUGUAGGAUGUAGCCUCUUCGUCCCGGCAGCCCUCCGAGAUUCCCUGUGUCCACCGGAGCGAGGGGAGGUGGGGGGCUGCAGCCCAGAACUCAGCUUCCCCGACCUCCCCACAAUCCCGCCUCUCCGGGAUUAAGGGAGUAAAUCCCUGACGCUAAAGACCAGGUCAAGGACAAGUUCUCCCCCGCCCUAAUCCCCCCUCCUGGGCGGGGAUUCACCUCCCUUCCCGGAUGAAAGGUACUAAAGAGCCGACGGGGGGCCGCGGCGGGGCCCCAGGCCCUUGAUGUUCCGGUUGAACAGGUGCUGGUGAAAAGGAGGCGGACCCGGCGGAAGAGUCUGCCAGGGGGCAGUGCACCGAAGGGGGGGCGGCCUCCUCCACCUCCAGUUCCCCGGCCCGUCUUCCCUUCUCCUCUCUGUUUGCCCCUCCCCCGCAGGAAGCGUUCCCGGCCUCGAGGUCUUUGAAGUGUCGUUGAAGCCCCCAGGGCUGCCUUCUCCCCUACGCCACCCGAACUCCCGCUGUGGGGGGCGGGUGACCUUUAGUCCCACGAGCGUCGCCCCCCUUUAGGAAGUUUUUGGGGGGUCAGAUCUCACCCCCCCCCCUUGCCCACACAGGUCUUGGGAAGAAGCGUUUGGGCCGACGCCCCUCACUUCUCUCCCAGACCCAACUGCAGGGACUUUAGUCCUCUGGAGUGCUGCGUGUGAGUUACGCUGUGUGUCUGUGUGCGUGCCUAGAGGUCAAGUGUAACUGGUGUUCGUGAGCACCUCGUGGUUGCGGGUCUCUAACUCUCGUGGGUCUCUAAGCGCGGCCGCGGGGCUGGAGCGGAGGUUCGUGUCUCUGGGAGGGUCAGUGGUGUGACUGAAGCUGGGAGUUAGCUCGUGUCUGUGGGUGCCUCAGUGUGUGUCUCUGGGGCUCCGAGUCCCUGUGCGUGCUUGUGUGUCUGUGAACCCGACAGGAAGCUCCCCGAGGGCAGGAAUAUGUUUUGCUCUCUACUCGAUCCCAGCGACUGGCAACGAGCGUUUAAUAAAUAUCUGUUGAAUGA